UAUCGCUAAGGGAUGAGCUCGCGCCUGAUUAGCUAGUUGGUGGGGUAAAGGCCCACCAAGGCGACAAUCAGUAGCCGGCCUGAGAGGGCGUACGGCCACACUGGAACUGAGACACGGUCCAGACUCCUACGGGAGGCAGCAGUGAGGAAUAUUGGGCAAUAGGCGCAAGCCUGACCCAGCCAUGCCGCGUGCAGGAUGAAGGCCCUAUGGGUUGUAAACUGCUUUUAUACGGGACGAAUCCCUCGGACGUGUCCGGGGCUGACGGUACCGUAAGAAUAAGCAUCGGCUAACUCCGUGCCAGCAGCCGCGGUAAUACGGAGGAUGCAAGCGUUAUCCGGAUUCAUUGGGUUUAAAGGGUGCGUAGGCGGAACGAUAAGUCAGCGGCGAAAUCCUGCAGCUUAACUGUAGAAUUGCCAUUGAUACUGCCGUUCUUGAAUGCGGUUGAGGCAGGCGGAAUGUGUAUUGUAGCGGUGAAAUGCGUAGAUAUUACACAGAACACCUAUUGCGUAGGCAGCCUGCUAAGCCGUGAUUGACGCUGAGGCACGAAAGCGUGGGGAGCAAACAGGAUUAGAUACCCUGGUAGUCCACGCUGUAAACGAUGAUCACUCGCUGUUGGCGAUAUACCGUUCAGCGGCUAAGCGAAAGCAUUAAGUGAUCCACCUGGGGAGUACGACGGCAACGUUGAAACUCAAAGGAAUUGACGGGGGCCCGCACAAGCGGAGGAACAUGUGGUUUAAUUCGAUGAUACGCGAGGAACCUUACCUGGGCUUAAAUGGGAGACGACGUCUCGGGAAACCGGGAUUCCCUUCGGGGCGGCUCUCAAGGUGCUGCAUGGUUGUCGUCAGCUCGUGCCGUGAGGUGUCGGGUUAAGUCCCAUAACGAGCGCAACCCCUAUCGUUAGUUGCCAGCGGGUAAUGCCGGGGACUCUAGCGAAACUGCCAGCGUAAGCUGUGAGGAAGGUGGGGAUGACGUCAAAUCAGCACGGCCCUUACGUCCAGGGCAACACACGUGUUACAAUGGCCGGUACAAAGGGCAGCUACUGGGCGACCAGAUGCUAAUCUCUAAAACCGGUCUUAGUUCGGAUUGAAGUCUGAAACUCGACUUCAUGAAGUUGGAUUCGCUAGUAAUCGCGCAUCAGCUAUGGCGCGGUGAAUCCGUUCCCGGGCCUUGCACUCACCGCCCGUCAA
rnacentral:rRNA from 1 species